rnacentral:rRNA from 1 species
UCCGUAGGCGGCAUGUUAGGUGAGGUGUGAAAUCCCCCGGCUCAACCGAGGAAUUGCGCUUCAAACCGGCGUGCUUGAGGAAGAUAGAGGUGGGCGGAACUGAUGGUGGAGCGGUGAAAUGCGUUGAUAUCAUCAGGAACACCGGAGGCGAAGGCGGCCCACUGGGUCUUUUCUGACGCUGAGGGACGAAAGCUAGGGGAGCGAACGGGAUUAGAUACCCCGGUAGUCCUAGCCUUAAACGAUGAGCACUAGACCGAAGAAUCUCCACGAUUUUUUGGUCGUAGCGAAAGUGUUAAGUGCUCCGCCUGGGGAGUAUGGUCGCAAGGCUGAA